GUUAGGAAUAUUGGACAAUGGACGCAAGUCUGAUCCAGCCAUGCCGCGUGAGUGAUGAAGGCCUUCGGGUUGUAAAGCUCUUUAGCCGAUGAUUAUAAUGACUGUAGUCGGAAAAUAAGCCCCGGCUAACUUCGUGCCAGCAGCCGCGGUAAUACGAAGGGGGCGAGCGUUAUUCGGAAUCACUGGGCGUAAAGCGUGCGUAGGCGGUUUUGUAAGUUGGGAGUGAAAGCCCAGGGCUCAACCCUGGAAUUGCUCUCAAAACUACAAGACUUGAAUUCGGGAGAGGAUAGCGGAAUUGUCAGUGUAGCAGUGAAAUGCGUAGAUAUUGACAGGAACACCAGUGGCGUAAGCGGCUAUCUGGACCGACAUUGACGCUGAGGCACGAAAGCGUGGGGAUCAAACAGGAUUAGAAACCCUGGUAGUCC
rnacentral:rRNA from 1 species